ensembl:lncRNA
UGAAACGCUGCGAAACAAAGUAAAACUAAGUCCUGUCUUUGAAAUAACUUUUUCAGCUCCUUUUGUAGAGAAUACUGCAAACAAGACUUUGUACUAUUUACUUUAAAAAAAAAAACGUACUGUUGGCUCAUAAUAAAGGAUCACAUGGAAAGAAGUGGUUACUCCAUUUAUUUUCUCAUGCAUUAAAUGGGCUAUUUGGGACAAAAGAAAAUCUCUCUAAAGAGGUUUCUAAAUGGCCUCACAUAUUCUUGGAAUGAUUCAGGCGGCACAUUUCCCCCUGCUAAAAGCUUGAAUGGUCUUUGCUUAUGAAACUGUGAUGGGAAUCUGAACUUAAAUGGCAUCAGUGGACUCUCCGGUUACCUGAAGUGGGUUAUAUUGCUUUCUCAGCACGGUGCAGUGACAGCAGGGAUUAAGAUAUGAUCCUCAUCUCCGCAUGUCUGCUAAACCCGAUGGAUUAAGUGAAUUAUGUCAUUUGAGAAUCACAGGGUUUUUUUCCAGCAAUUAUUACAAACUUCACACCUUUUUUCUACCAACAUACCCAACCGUAAAAGGUGUUUUCAUAACUGUUGCGAAUCUAGCAAGAAUCAGGUGAACCCGACCAGAACGAAAGGGAUCCGUCAUCCAUGGCCAAAAGUGGAGAAGUAUGUACGGCGCACUUAAAGUUCAGAGCAAGGAAGGAACAUCAGAAGUUUUCACUCCAAAGUGUUACUUUAUUUGGCGCCAUAAUGCCCUGCCUUGAGGUAAAUGAUUCAAUAAAAACCUGUUUUCGCCCCAAAAAAAAAGUGUGUUAAAUUUAAUCUUUCCGAAAUGAAUGCACUACCACUUUUCUGCUCAUCACUUAUUCAUCCGGUGCAAAUGUUUUUCUCUGUUACUGAACAGAAGUUCUCCAAGCCGAGCUGGUCCACAGCACACAGAUAACACAGAGUCGAGAUGAAUGGAUGGGCAUUAGCUGGCAGGCCAGUGUGCCAGACUGCCUUUGGAGAGGAGCUGGAGGAGCAUCUGCCUUCAUAUUAGGGAGGCUGGCACCGGCCCUGCAGAGAUCUCGGGAAAAAAAAAAAAAACCAAAAGGUAGUGAAAGGGAGUGAACGCCAGCUCCAAACCCAUGUCCUUGUGCUAAAAAAAAAACCCAC